UACGUAGGGUGCGAGCGUUAAUCGGAAUUACUGGGCGUAAAGCGUGCGCAGGCGGUUCUCCAAGUCCGUUGUGAAAGCCCCGGGCUCAACCUGGGAAUGGCAGUGGAAACUAGGGGACUGGAAUCUGGCAGAGGGGGGUGGAAUGCCGCGUGUAGCAGUGAAAUGCGUAGAGAUCGGGAGGAACACCCGUGGCGAAGGCGGCCGACUGGGCCGACUCUGACGCUGAGGCGCGAAGGCGUGGGGAGCGAACGGG
rnacentral:rRNA from 1 species